UCUCCGUAGGUGAACCUGCGGAGGGAUCAUUACAGAGUUCGUGCCCUAACGGGUAGAUCUCCCACCCUGUGUUAUUAUACCGUUGUUGCUUUGGCGGGCCGCCCUAGGCUACCGGCCCCGGCUGGUACGCGCCCGCCAGAGGACCCCAAACUCUGACUGUUAGUGUCGUCUGAGUACUAUACAAUAGUUAAAACUUUCAACAACGGAUCUCUUGGUUCUG
rnacentral:misc_RNA from 1 species